AUACCAACUGUCUGGAAGAAGUUUAGACCAACUGAGACACCUGGGAUGGACAUUCUCCAGCCCUUUGAUCCAUCUACAUGCUGUGCAGUUUCUUCAAGUUCCCAGGUUUUGUGAUCUGUCACCCAUGCUGGGUAGGCUUUGGCGAUGCAGCAGUUUUUGAGUCAUUUCUGCUCCUGUUCUGCUGGCAUUGUGAAUCUCUGCUCAAUUUGAUGUUCAAAAGCACAAGAACUUUCAGUUCCCAGUGAUACCCACUGAAGCCUGAUGUCAGCAGAGAACAUUAUCUGUAGUCUCCCCUCCCCCAGCCUUAAGGGUUCUACUGUUCACACCUGGAUGGAGUUUGCCCGCUCAGUCUUUCUGCCACGCCCACUGCUGGAGCUUGCCGCUUUGCUGUUUGGAGCCAUACACGUGGUCACCCUGCUACUGGACCCUGAGGUUAUUUGGCGGGAAUCGGGCCCCCUUCCCCUGCUUCAUAACUGUGUGCGGAACAGUAAAAUUGAGCUUUGAUC
rnacentral:lncRNA from 1 species